rnacentral:miRNA from 1 species
GUUCAACCCCGGGGUUAAAAUUCAACCCUGCUAGCUGAAGCAGGGUUGAAAUUUCAACCCCAGGGUUGAAC